UUCCUGGUAGCUCAGCUGGUAAAGCAUCUGCUUGCAAUGCAGGAGACCCCAGUUCAAUCUCUGAGUUGGGAAG
rnacentral:tRNA from 1 species